GGGAAACUGCCUGAUGGAGGGGGAUAACUACUGGAAACGGUAGCUAAUACCGCAUAACGUCGCAAGACCAAAGAGGGGGACCUUCGGGCCUCUUGCCAUCAGAUGUGCCCAGAUGGGAUUAGCUAGUAGGUGGGGUAACGGCUCACCUAGGCGACGAUCCCUAGCUGGUCUGAGAGGAUGACCAGCCACACUGGAACUGAGACACGGUCCAGACUCCUACGGGAGGCAGCAGUGGGGAAUAUUGCACAAUGGGCGCAAGCCUGAUGCAGCCAUGCCGCGUGUAUGAAGAAGGCCUUCGGGUUGUAAAGUACUUUCAGCGGGGAGGAAGGGAGUAAGGUUAAUAACCUUGCUCAUUGACGUUACCCGCAGAAGAAGCACCGGCUAACUCCGUGCCAGCAGCCGCGGUAAUACGGAGGGUGCAAGCGUUAAUCGGAAUUACUGGGCGUAAAGCGCACGCAGGCGGUCUGUCAAGUCGGAUGUGAAAUCCCCGGGCUCAACCUGGGAACUGCAUUCGAAGCUGGCAGGCUGGAGUCUUGUAGAGGGGGGUAGAAUUCCAGGU
rnacentral:rRNA from 1 species